rnacentral:rRNA from 1 species
GGAAUCCGCUAAGGAGUGUGUAACAACUCACCUGCCGAAUGAAUUAGCCCUGAAAAUGGAUGGCGCUGAAGCGGGUGGCCGACACCACGCCGUCUGACCAAACAGAAUUGAAAUUGCAGUCAGAUGAGUAGGAGGGCGUGGCGGCCGUGUCGAAGCAUGCGUGCAGACGCUUGUGGAACGGCCGCUAGUGCAGAUCUUGGUGGUAGUAGCAAGUAUUCAAGCGAGAUCCUUGAAGGGCGAAGCGGGGAAGGGUUCCACGCGAACAUUGAUUGGGCGUGGGUGAGUCGUUCCUAAGUCGAGUGGCAAUUGCUAAGUAUCGGCGAAAGGGAAGCGGGUUGACAUUCCCGCACACGGAUGUGGAGGCGGUGACGCAGAAUGCGGCGAACACGCUGGCGACGGCGCUGGGCAGAGUUGUCUUUUCUGUUUGACCUACUCAGCGCGCGGUGUGGAAUCCGCUUGUCGGGAGAAACACGCGUGCCGGGGCAGAGCGCCGGGCCUUUUCCGGCGUCCAGCUCGCCGUCGACGGCCCUUGAAACUUUGCCUGCUGAAUGAUUUUUUUUGUUUCGUGCAAAAAAGAGAGAAAUCCACGCCGUGGCGUACCGAUCACCGCAUCAGGUCCCCAAGGUGAACAGCCUCUGCUCAAUAUGAACAAUGCAGGUAAGGGAAGUCGGCAAAUUAGACCCGUAACUUUGGGAUAAGGGUUGGCUCUAGUGCUGCGUGGGAGUGGUUGCCUAGUGUCGGGGCUUGUAGGGAGACUGGCAAGGCGCGGGAACCGCAAGGUACCUGUUCUUUGCUGUUUGCUUGCAUUUUCCGCGCCGGGCGACGCCCACAGCAUGCAGCAGACUAGAACUGCAACGGGCAAAGGGAAUCCGACUGUUUAAUUAAAACAAAGCAUUGCGAGGGCCGUGGCCGGUGAUGACGCAAUG